rnacentral:rRNA from 1 species
CAGCAGCCGCGGUAAUACGUAGGGUGCGAGCGUUAAUCGGAAUUACUGGGCGUAAAGCGUGCGCAGGCGGUUGUGUAAGACAGGUGUGAAAUCCCCGGGCUUAACCUGGGAACUGCGCUUGUGACUGCACAGCUAGAGUAUGGCAGAGGGGGGUGGAAUUCCACGUGUAGCAGUGAAAUGCGUAGAGAUGUGGAGGAACACCGAUGGCGAAGGCAGCCCCCUGGGCCGAUACUGACGCUCAUGCACGAGAGCGUGGGGAGCAAACAGGAUUAGAUACCCGCGUAGUCCCUGUCUCUUAUAC